CACGCUUCCACACUCUUCCUUCCCCUUCUCUCCUGCUACAGUAGAGAGCGGCGGAAGACAGACGAUUCGGCCCGCCUGCUCGCUUUCCCCUCCUCUCCGGUGGCCUCGUCGGCGCCGGAGAGGGAGGGGAAGCCGGAUCUGCCGUGUGCUGCACAUAGUUUAGGCCUAGAUAUAUAGUUUAGGUGCUAAAUAACUCAUCCCAUGGAGGGUUUGUUACAUGGGAUGCUUGGUUUCUUCCCCAUCGGCGAAGCUGUCUACAGCGAGUCCGACGUGGUGAAGCUUUUGGUCUUUCAGGGAGCUUCCGGUGGCUUUGGUUCCUCCGGUUUGCCUGAGAGUUUCUUCUUCCUCCAAGAUGGUGAUGUGGAGGUACGCGGUGACGGUCACAGAGCCAUCGUCUUCUUCAUCGAUCUAGCUUGGAGGGAAACAAGGAUGACGGCCGAUGCGCGCCAGGGGGGAGAUGUCUUGCGGCUAAACAAAGCUUGUUGUCUCCUUGGCGUCCUUGGUGGUGGCUUCCAUCUCCAGUUCUGGGCUCGUCUUUUUCACCUCCGACGAGGCGGAGAAUGGUGCGCGGCGGACUGGAUACGGUGCGGCGGACCAUAGAUGUGUUUUCUUUGUUUCUUAGGGUCUUGUUCGCAAAAGUUGCAGCUGGAAAAAGGAGAGGUUCUGGCUUUCGUUGUAUUUUUUUCCUUUUCCCAGGGUGCUUGAUGUAAACCUGAGGGGUCAGUACUGUGCUUCAGCUUAAUCCAUCGGGCUUCCUGCCCCUUUCG